ACGGGGUGCAGCAGGCGCGAAAACUUUACAAUGCGGGCAACCGCGAUAAGGGGACCUCGAGUGCCGACAUCAAAUGUCGGCUGUCGUGAUGCCUAAAAAGCAUUACAUAGCAAGGGCCGGGCAAGACCGGCGCCAGCCGCCGCGGUAACACCGGCGGCUCGAGUGGUGACCGCUAUUAUUGGGUUUAAAGGGUCUGUAGCCGGCCGGAUAAGUCUCUUGGGAAAUCUGGCCGCUCAACGGUCAGGCUUUCAGGAGAUACUGUCUGGCUCGAGGCCGGGAGAGGUGAGAGGUACUUCAGGGGUAGGGGUGAAAUCUUGUAAUCCUUGAAGGACCACCAGUGGCGAAGGCGUCUCACCAGAACGGACCUGACGGCAAGGGACGAAAGCUAGGGGCACGAACCGGAUUAGAUACCCGGGUAGUCCUAGCCGUAAACGAUACUCGCUAGGUGUCGGCCACGGUGCGACCGUGGUCGGUGCCGCAGGGAAACCGUGAAGCGAGCCACCUGGGAAGUACGGCCGCAAGGCUGAAACUUAAAGGAAUUGGCGGGGGAGCACA
rnacentral:rRNA from 1 species